UACAGAGGGUGCUAGCGUUGUUCGGAAUCAUUGGGCGUAAAGGGCGUGUAGGCGGUUUGCUAAGUCAUGUGUGAAAUCCCUCGGCUUGACCGGGGAACUGCGUCCGAUACUGGAUGGCUCGAGUUUGGGAGAGGGAUGCGGAAUUCCAGGUGUAGCGGUGAAAUGCGUAGAUAUCUGGAGGAACACCGGUGGCGAAGGCGGCAUCCUGGACCAACACUGACGCUGAGGAGCGAAAGCCAGGGGAGCAAACGGG
rnacentral:rRNA from 1 species